CCUACGGGGGACAGCAGUGGGGAAUAUUGCACAAUGGGGGAAACCCUGAUGCAGCGACGCCGCGUGAGCGAUGAAGUAUUUCGGUAGGUAAAGCUCUAUCAGCAGGGAAGAAAAUGACGGUACCUGACUAAGAAGCCCCGGCUAACUACGUGCCAGCAGCCGCGGUAAUACGUAGGGGGCAAGCGUUAUCCGGAUUUACUGGGUGUAAAGGGAGCGUAGACGGCGGUGCAAGCCAGAUGUGAAAGCCUGGGGCUCAACCCCGGGACUGCAUUUGGAACUGUGCUGCUAGAGUGUCGGAGAGGCAGGCGGAAUUCCUAGUGUAGCUGUGAAAUGCGUAGAUAUUAGGCGGACCCCCAGUGGCGAAGGCGGCCUGCUGGACGAUGACUGCCGUUGAGGCUCGAAAGCGUGGGGAGCAAACAGGAUUAGAUACCCCAGUAGUC
rnacentral:rRNA from 1 species